rnacentral:rRNA from 1 species
UACGUAGGGUCCGAGCGUUGUCCGGAGUUACUGGGCGUAAAGCGCGCGCAGGUGGUUCACUAAGCCCGGCGUGAAAGCCCCCGGCUCAACCGGGGAGGGUCGUCGGGGACUGGUGAACUUGAGGGCGGCAGGGGCUGGUGGAAUCCCCGGUGUAGUGGUGAAAUGCGUAGAGAUCGGGGGGAACACCCGUGGCAAAGGCGGCCAGCUGGGCCGUCCCUGACACUGAGGCGCGAAGGCGUGGGGAGCGAACGGG